UUAAUUGAAGAGUUUGAUCAUGGCUCAGAUUGAACGCUGGCGGCAGGCCUAACACAUGCAAGUCGAGCGGCAGCACAGAGGAACUUGUUCCUUGGGUGGCGAGCGGCGGACGGGUGAGUAAUGCCUGGGAAAUUGCCCGGUAGAGGGGGAUAACCAUUGGAAACGAUGGCUAAUACCGCAUAACCUCGUAAGAGCAAAGCAGGGGACCUUCGGGCCUUGCGCUACCGGAUAUGCCCAGGUGGGAUUAGCUAGUUGGUGAGGUAAGGGCUCACCAAGGCGACGAUCCCUAGCUGGUCUGAGAGGAUGAUCAGCCACACUGGAACUGAGACACGGUCCAGACUCCUACGGGAGGCAGCAGUGGGGAAUAUUGCACAAUGGGCGCAAGCCUGAUGCAGCCAUGCCGCGUGUAUGAAGAAGGCCUUCGGGUUGUAAAGUACUUUCAGUAGGGAGGAAGGUG
rnacentral:rRNA from 1 species